rnacentral:rRNA from 1 species
GAGUUUGAUCCUGGCUCAGGACGAACGCUGGCGGCGUGCUUAACACAUGCAAGUCGAACGGUAAGGCCCCAGCUUGCUGGGGUACACGAGUGGCGAACGGGUGAGUAACACGUGGGUGACCUGCCCCGCACUUCGGGAUAAGCCUGGGAAACUGGGUCUAAUACCGGAUAGGACCGCACCGUGAGGGUGUGGUGGAAAGUUUUUCGGUGUGGGAUGGGCCCGCGGCCUAUCAGCUUGUUGGUGGGGUAAUGGCCUACCAAGGCGGCGACGGGUAGCCGGCCUGAGAGGGUGGACGGCCACAUUGGGACUGAGACACGGCCCAGACUCCUACGGGAGGCAGCAGUGGGGAAUAUUGCACAAUGGGCGGAAGCCUGAUGCAGCGACGCCGCGUGGGGGAUGACGGCCUUCGGGUUGUAAACUCCUUUCACCAUCGACGAAGGUUUUCUGACGGUAGAUGGAGAAGAAGCACCGGCUAACUACGUGCCAGCAGCCGCGGUAAUACGUAGGGUGCGAGCGUUGUCCGGAAUUACUGGGCGUAAAGAGCUCGUAGGUGGUUUGUCGCGUCGUCUGUGAAAUUCCGGGGCUUAACUCCGGGCGUGCAGGCGAUACGGGCAUAACUUGAGUACUGUAGGGGCAGACUGGAAUCCUGGUGUAGCGUGGAAAGCGCAGAUAUCAGGAGGAACACCGGUGGCGAAGGCGGGUUUCUGGGCAGUAACUGACGUGAGGAGGGAAAGCAUGUGUAGGGACAGGGAUUAGAUACCUGGGUAGUCCAUGCCGUAAACGGUGGGCGCUAGGGGUAGGGGUCUUCCACGACUUGUGUGCCGUAGCUAACGCAUUAAGCGCCCCGCCUGGGGAGUACGGCCGCAAGGCUAAAACUCAAAGGAAUUGACGGGGGCCCGCACAAGCGGCGGAGCAUGUGGAUUAAUUCGAUGCAACGCGAAGAACCUUACCUGGGCUUGACAUAUACGGGACCGGGCCAGAGAUGGUCCUUCCCUUGUGGCUCGUAUACAGGUGGUGCAUGGUUGUCGUCAGCUCGUGUCGUGAGAUGUUGGGUUAAGUCCCGCAACGAGCGCAACCCUUGUCUUAUGUUGCCAGCACGUAAUGGUGGGGACUCGUGAGAAACUGCCGGGGUCAACUCGGAGGAAGGUGGGGAUGACGUCAAAUCAUCAUGCCCCUUAUGUCCAGGGCUUCACACAUGCUACAAUGGUCGGUACAGUGGGUUGCGAUGCCGUGAGGUGGAGCUAAUCCCUGAAAGCCGGUCUCAGUUCGGAUCGGGGUCUGCAACUCGACCCCGUGAAGUCGGAGUCGCUAGUAAUCGCAGAUCAGCAACGCUGCGGUGAAUACGUUCCCGGGCCUGUACACACCGCCCGUC